AUAAGAUUGCAAACCCGUACCCAGGCUGUUCCCUGGUACCGAUACGACUCACAAUUCCUAUACCAUAAGACGGAAUUUUUCUUUGUAUUAAGCAUACAGCCUGCAGUGUAUCUCUAGGCUGUCAUAAAGCCAAAAGUUUCCAAUAUAAGUGCCAUUGGCAUCAAGGAGUUUAUAACUCAAGGACGAAAGAACUUUUAUACUCUUCCUGAAUUGAAAACCUGGUUGCAGUAACUUACACUAAUUUUGAAAUGAAUAUUUUAUUUAUUUUUUUUUUUUUUUAUUUAUUUUUUUUUUUUUUUUUUUUUUCACACGACAUCUUUGCAAAUUAUAUAUAAGGUCAUUACAGUAUCAUGAGACCGUUAUGCAAUAAACGCUGAACUGACCAUUGAAACCUCAGCGUUGACUAAUAUCACGUAACCAACACAGCAAAUAU
rnacentral:lncRNA from 1 species